rnacentral:rRNA from 1 species
GAGUUUGAUCCUGGCUCAGGAUGAACGCUGGCGGCGUGCUUAACACAUGCAAGUCGAGCGAAGCGUUUAAGACGAUCUCUUCGGAUUGAGUCUUAUAUGACUGACCGGCGGACGGGUGAGUAACGCGUGGGUAACCUGCCUCAUACAGGGGGAUAACAGUUAGAAAUGACUGCUAAUACCGCAUAAGCGCACAGGGCUGCAUGGCCUGGUGUGAAAAACUCCGGUGGUAUGAGAUGGACCCGCGUCUGAUUAGCUAGUUGGAGGGGUAACGGCCCACCAAGGCGACGAUCAAUAGCCGGCCUGAGAGGGUGAACGGCCACAUUGGGACUGAGACACGGCCCAGACUCCUACUGGAGGCAGCGGUGGGGAAUAUUGCACAAUGGGGGAAACCCUGAUGCAACGGCCCCCCGAGAAGGAAGAAGUAUCUCGGUGUGUAAACUUCUAUCAGCAGGGAAGAAAAUGAC